rnacentral:tRNA from 1 species
AGUCAUUUAGCUUAUUAAUAAAGCAUAUAUUUUGAAAGUAUAAGAAAGAUAUAGAAUUUAAUGACUU